CUGAUUUACAAAUUAAUGAAAAAUGAAAAGCUGAAAUGUCUGUAGUUAAUAAGUAUUCAUCCCUUUUAUUAUGGUAAGCCUAAAUAAACAUUUGCAUAAGUCAGAUAAUAAGUUGAAUGGACUAUCUCUGUGUGCAAUAGUGUUUAACAUGAUUGUUUUAUAACUACCUCAUCUCUGUACCCCACACAUACAAUUAUCUGUAAGGUCCCUCAGUCGAGCAGUAAAUUUCAAGCCCAGAUUCAACGACAAAGACCAGGGAGGUUUUCCAAAGCCUUGUAAAGAAGGGCACCUAUUGCAGAUGGGUUAAAAAACAACAAGCAGACAUUGAAUAUCCCUUUGAGCAUGGUGAACAUUGCUUAAAAAUAUAAAGUGGUACUCAGUGAUGUGUUGUGUUGGAUUUGCUCCCAAACAUAAUGCUUUGUAUUCAGGACAAAACAUUUAUUUCUUUGCCACAUUUUUUUGCAGUUCUACUUUAGUGCCUUGUUGCAAACAUGAUGCAUGUUUUGGAAUAUUUGUAUUCUGUACAGGCUUCCUUCUUUUCACUCUGUCAUUUAAGUUAGUAUUGUGGAGUAACUACACUGUUGUUGAUCCAUCCCCAGUUGUUUUCUCUUAUCACAGCCAUUAAACUCUGUAACAGGUUUAAUAUCACCAUUGGCCUCAUGGUGAAACCCCUGAGCAGUUUCCUUCCUCUCUGUCAACUGAGUUAGACCCAAUUGUCUUGACCAUCUUUUUCUUCAUCGGAGCUGGCUUCAUCAUCAUACAAAUGUUGAAUUAAGUACCUUACGGUCAUUGUUUUGAAUUUAAAAAGGUCAAAAAGCAGCUUCUUAGCUAAGAACAAUUUCAAAGCAAGAAUUUUGCUAGGACUGUAUGGGAGUGGAAAACUAACUUAUUGUCAGAAAGAUUUGGAAAGCUCUUAUUGGUCUUAACUACUUUAAUGCCUGGUGAAAAACUCCACCCCACCAUAACAGCAGAAUAUUUUUUAUUCAAACCACUCUUACACUAAAAGGGUAUUAUAAUUUUCACACUAUUAUUCCAACCUCAUAGUGUGGAAAUAUAUAAAACACUGGAAAAUCUAGUUUGACUGAUGUGGUGGGGUUGAACCCAAGUGCAGAGAAUGGACCAGACGAGGAACUAAUGAUUAAGGAUAAACAAAUACUUUACUGUGAAAAGAUAACAUAAGGAUCACAGUAACACAGGAGAAAACAACAAACACUAGGACUAGAAACUCACUCGGGACAAACACACAGGGCAACCGAAAUAAAGCUUAUGCAAAGAGAACUGAAAACACCUUUAUUAAUGGGGAAAGAUCAUGAGGAAAUGGGAAACACCAGAGUGUAAUAAUAGUCUCUAUGGUCAUCUCUGAUGCCAGGAGGAACCAGGACAGACUGCAGUGGGCCUUUAAGUGUUACUGAGAUUUCACUAUACAGUGUUUUUGUAGUGACAGAAAAGCAUAACCACAACUUUUAUGCAAGAAAACAAAUUGUUGAUUUUGGUAUAAAUGCAAUUCUUAGUAAAUGCAGCCUCUUUUGCUCUCUGAUCAUGCCUAGAUUAUAAAUGCUAUGUUAAAUGCCUUAAUGUCAAUGUUGCCUUGUAUGUGAAUUACAAUGUAAUAAAAUCUAUUUGCCUUGGACAGACAA
rnacentral:lncRNA from 1 species